rnacentral:rRNA from 1 species
GACGAACGCUGGCGGCGUGCCUAAUACAUGCAAGUCGAACGAGAGCGACCGGUGCUUGCACUGGUCAAUCUAGUGGCGAACGGGUGAGUAACACGUGGGUAACCUGCCCAUCAGAGGGGGAUAACAUCCGGAAACGGAUGCUAAAACCGCAUAGGUCUUCGAGCCGCAUGGCUUGAAGAGGAAAAGAGGCGCAAGCUUCUGCUGAUGGAUGGACCCGCGGUGCAUUAGCUAGUUGGUGAGGUAACGGCUCACCAAGGCCGUGAUGCAUAGCCGACCUGAGAGGGUGAGCGGCCACAUUGGGACUGAGACACGGCCCAAACUCCUACGGGAGGCAGCAGUAGGGAAUCUUCCGCAAUGGACGCAAGUCUGACGGAGCAACGCCGCGUGAGUGAAGAAGGUUUUCGGAUCGUAAAACUCUGUUGUUAGAGAAGAACAAGUGCUAGAGUAACUGUUAGCGCCUUGACGGUAUCUAACCAGAAAGCCACGGCUAACUACGUG